rnacentral:rRNA from 1 species
GUUAGUUGUCCAUCAGUUCAGUUGGGCACUCUAGCGAGACUGCCGGUAAUAAACCGGAGGAAGGUGGGGAUGACGUCAAAGUCAUCAUGCCCCUUAUGACCUGGGCUACACACGUGCUACAAUGGUUGGUACAACGAGUUGCGAGUCGGUGACGGCGAGCUAAUCUCUUAAAGCCAAUCUCAGUUCGGAUUGUAGGCUGCAACUCGCCUACAUGAAGUCGGAAUCGCUAGUAAUCGCGGAUCAGCACGCCGCGGUGAAUACGUUCCCGGGCCUU